rfam:Candidate division WS6 bacterium 36_33 MPI_scaffold_8858, whole genome shotgun sequence.
GCACCCGUAGCUCAAUAGGAUAGAGCAACGCACUCCUAACGCGUAGGCUGUCGGUUCGAUUCCGACCGGGUGCG